AUGGCCGUUGGUUGGGACUGGGAUUCUGCGGCAUUCAUAGCCAUAGUUGGCUGGUUAGUCUCACCCAUCAUCACUUUGCUCUUGCCCAACAUCCUCUCCUGCGGGUUCGACGCGUCGCGGAAGCUCUGGGAGCUGGAGAUCCACGUUAUCCCGGAGCUGAACAAGACGCUGCUUGCCGUGGAUCAAAAGAGGAUGCUGCAUAGGGGAGGAAUAUCCGAUGUGGCCACGCUCGACAAGAUGGCCGCCGUGCUGAGGCACGCCCGGGAGGAGGCCGAAGACAUCUUCGACGAUGCUCAGCACAAGAUCGUCGGCGGCGACAGCAUCUUGCAGACCUGCAACACGAGAAUUGAGCGCAUCGCCCGGAGCGGAUCGGCUCAGCUACUGCAGUGGGCGCGGAAUAUCUUCUUGCGUAGGUCAGAAGAUGCGCUUCCAGUGAUUUCCACUGCUGUUGCGCCCUCUGGCGAGCCCGUCCCGGUGACUGCACCCUCUGAUUCCUCGGGAUGGUGGUCCUCUUGCUGGUGCAGCUCCUUCUACUUGCUCAAGUUCUGUUGUACAUCACUAUACAACUCAGUAGUUGAUGUGUUCAAGGUUGCCUGCUUAUACAGAGAUUGGUCCUAUGACGUGGUUGGCAUCACAAGUUAUCAGGAGAAUGCAAGUGCAUCACAUUCUCUGGGUGCGGCUAUCUCGAGAUGGAACUUGAAGAGAAGAAUAGAGGAGUUAGAAAGAGUCGUCAAUGAAGUGAAGAAGUCAGAACUCUUGUGUGUACCAAGGGAUAUUGCACCUGAUGAUAUUGCCAACAAGAACAGGUGCCGAAUUAGAACUGCUAGCAAGCGGAAGGUAUUUGGUCGAGAGGAGUUGCGUGACGAUAUCAUGACAAGGUUCCAUGAGACACCGCACGGUGAUGCACCAAGCUCGAGUACUAGUCCAUGUUACUCUGUGAUUGGCAUAUAUGGUGUUGCAGGUUCUGGGAAGACUACCUUUGCACAAUAUAUUCGAGAUUACAUAAAGGAGGAAUGCAAGCAGAAACUUUUUGACACCAUCAUGUGUAUUCAUGUGUCUGAGACUUUCAGUGUGGAUGAUAUAUUUCAUGAAAUGUUGAAGGAUAUUACCAGUAAUCGACACUCCAAUAUUUCAGAUCAUGAGGAGUUGGAGGAGAAGUUGAAGGAGUCAUUGUGCGGCAAACGUUUCUUCCUGAUACUGGAUGAUCUCUGGGUGAAGAGCAAGAAUGACAUACGGCUGGAGGAACUAAUUUCUCCACUUAAUGCUGGGAUCAAAGGAAGCACCAUCCUCGUGACGGCUCGAACCAAAGAUGCAGCUGGAGUUUUGUGUGCUGACGAACCUAUUAAACUGCCAGAUUUGGAUGAGGAUCAAUACUUGACGAUGUUUAUGCAUUAUGCAUUGGGCGGAACAAGUGUUGGUGCUGAUGAAUUUGUACGGGUUGGGAGAUUGAUAGCAAACAAGCUACAUAGAUCACCUAUUGCAGCGGUAGUAGUGGCAGGACGGCUUGGGACAAACCCAAAUAUCAAAUUUGGGAAAAAUAUUGAAAAGCUUGACAUGUUGAAUGAUACCAUGCAUGCUCUUUGGUGGAGCUAUCAGCAGCUUAAUCCGGACAUUAGGCGGUGCUUAGAAUACUACAAUAUUUUCCCCAAAAGAUUCAAGUUGACAAGAGUCGAGUUAGUCCGCCUUUGGAUAGCCCAAGGGUUUGUAAAGAACAGUUGUGCAACGGAGGACACGGAAGAUGUAGCUGAGGGCUACAUUCAAGAGUUAGUGGCAUGCUCAUUUCUUCAACCAGAAGGAGAUUACUUUACAAUUCAUGAUCUUAUGCAUGAUUUAGCAAAAAAGGUCUCCGGAAGUGAUUACUUUAGGAUCGAGAAUAAAUGGAUCGAAAGUGGCGAAGGGUGGAAAGGAGAUGUUCCUCGAGAUGUUCGUCAUCUUUUUGUUCAAAAUUAUGAUUCAGAAUGGAUUACGGAGAAGAUCCUUAGAUUGGAAAAGUUACGCACCAUUUACGUUGUUGAAAGGGGUACACUAUUAGAGGAUAAAGUCAUUGAGAGUAUAUGCAAGAGGCUGCCGAAAUUGCGCGUACUGUCCAUUGAUUGGAGUAAUCAAUAUUGUGCACUUGAAAACCCCAGAAAGUUCUUGAUCCCAGAAUCUAUUAGUCAGUUAAAGCACCUACGCUAUCUUGCUUUCAGGACAGAACUUUCUUGCACGAUAAAUUUACCAAGCGCACUAAGUAAACUUCACCAUAUCCAGUUGCUGGAUUUUGGUUAUGGUGAAAUUUUGGAAUUUUCCUUUGCUGACCUUGUCAACCUACAACACAUGAUCUGCCAUAGUGACUUUCCUAACAUAGGCAGGAUGACCUCACUCCAAACGUUGCCAUGCUUCAUUGUAAAGAAUGAACAAGGGUAUGAAGUAAAGCAGUUGAGGAAUCUAAACAAGCUUCGUGGCGACCUAUGCAUUCUUGGCCUUAACAUUGUUAAAAGCAAGGAGGAAGCUCUUGAAGCCAAUCUAGCUGCCAAGGAACGGCUCACAUGUGUGUCACUAUGGUGGUAUCCUGGUGAUACAAGGUGCAAUUCAGAAAUCCAAGCAGAGGUAAUCGAGGGCUUGUGCCCUCCCGUGGGGCUUGAAACACUGCACAUCUUUUACUACCAAGGUACGAGGUACCCAGAUUGGAUGGUAGGUAAGCACAACGGUGGUCCAAAGGACCUGCAAGAACUUUGGUUAAAUGGAUGGAGUCAACUAGGCUCUGGCCCUGAACUCGAGGCUGUCCCACAUCUUCGUGUGCUCCGCUUUUCGGCCUGCAGCUGGAAAUUUUUACCAAACAAUAUGGAGCACCUCACAUCGCUCAAGGAAUUGUCCAUCACUGACUGCAAAAAUAUCAGGUCGCUUCCAACAUUGCCCCAAUCUCUUAAGAUGUUUCGUCUUGAGGGUUGCAAUGAUGAGUUUAUGAAGUCUUGUGAAACAGUCGGACAUCCAAACUGGCAAAAGAUCAGGCACAUCUCCGAGAAAACAUUUAGAUAG
rnacentral:rRNA from 1 species